GCCUGCGGGUGCACCUGCACGGACGUCGGACGGACAGUACAGACAUUAACGGUCGGUCGUGUACGCAUCUCAAAGAUCUCAAGAUCGACGGCUCAGAUGGUAUACAUUAUACACUCAGGUCUCCAUGUGCAAGGACAGAUUCACGUACUGAUCGAUGUGGCUUCUAACUUUGGGACGUGAUUAGGCUAUGGAUGUUGGAAUGAUACAAAUCGGUAGGCGUAGAUUUUGAGCUGGUGGACCAUGAUCAAAUCCUGAAAAGGACAAAUGCACAGAAGGAUCCCCGCAGGACAGGAACACGGGUAGGUUUUGGAUGGACAAUUUUACUGCUCGAUCCAACCAUGAAGCUGGCCAGGCAGCUCACACGCAUAAAAGAAAUCCUUACAGGAGUGUGCAGAAGUUGAUCGCCAAAAUUGUACUCGUAUACCAACAUUUCGAUGACAUUGAUGUAUAUGAAUAAACAAUGAUAUAUGUAUUUUAAAGGACGUACUCCCGAGUAAGAAGAUAAACAUUCUUUUAAAGGACUGACGUAAAUUUAUAAGUGUAUGAUAAGUAGUUUAAGUCAGGACAGGACUUAAGUUUGAUCUAAAAAAAGUAGUUUAAAUGAUAUAAUAGAUCGAGUGGCAAGUCAGGGGAUUGUACGAUUUUCAAAAGAAUUUUGUAGGAUUCUAGUUCUUAGAAAUUGUUCUGAUAAGAGCCAUUUGGAUGAUAGGAAUGGAGUUGCCAAAAUCCCUUACAUGAGCUCGAACCUUGUUUUUUUUUUCUUUCCUUUGAGAAGUCCAAUGCACUUGUGCUUGCA